rnacentral:rRNA from 1 species
AUUGAACGCUGGCGGCAGGCUUAACACAUGCAAGUCGAGCGAGCGGCGGACGGGUGAGUAAUGUCUGGGAAACUGCCUGAUGGAGGGGGAUAACUACUGGAAACGGUAGCUAAUACCGCAUACCAUCGGAUGAACCCAUAUGGGAUUAGCUAGUAGGUGGGGUAAUGGCUCACCAAGGCGACGAUCCCUAGCUGGUCUGAGAGGAUGACCAGCCACACUGGGACUGAGACACGGCCCAGACUCCUACGGGAGGCAGCAGUGGGGAAUAUUGCACAAUGGGCGCAAGCCUGAUGCGGCCAUGCCGCGUGUAUGAAGAAGGCCCUAGGGUUGUAAAGUACUUUCAGCGGGGAGGCGUUACCGACAGAAGAAGCACCGGCUAACUCCGUGCCAGCAGCCGCGGUAAUUC